AUAUUUUGGCAAAUUGCACCAAAUGAACGAAAUGACCCAAAAAAAGAUUCGUUUAUCUCCAUGAACAAGACUCAAAGAUCCGAGUCAGUAAAAUGAUCCGAACUUCCCAUCACUAGCCAAUAACAAUAAACCAUUUCAGCAGUUUGAGAAGUAAUUAGUAAUGUAAAGUCUGAAAAGCUCAGGUAUCUUGAAAAUAUAUCGCCAGUUCACAGCUUGUAACGGACCCAACUAUAACAUGCCUAUACACGUUCAUAAGAGUGUGCCAUUGGCACAUUUUGGGCCCUAUUUUAAUGAUCCAAGCGUAAAGCCCAAGGCACAAACGCAUUAAGGGCGAGUCUGAAUCCACUUUUGCUAUUUUAAGGACAGGAUAACACGCUCUGCGCGGUGGUGCAUGGUCUGAAAGGGUUGUGCUUAUUCUCUUAAUGAGUUAGAGGUGUGUUUUGGCCGUAACUUUUAUUAAACCAAUCAGUCUCAUUAUCCAUUCCCUUUAAGAGCGAAAUGUGCGCAUAACAGAUUCAUUUUUUACAUGGCGGGUUGCAGGAGGUCUGAACGCUUCAGUGGCAAGGUUAAAGCGCACGAGCAGAUCAUCUAUGGAACAAAUCAGAAUCCACCAAAGCUCCCCGAGGUGAAAAAGGCAUGGGAGGAAGACAGUGGCGACUGUGUCCUCGUCUUCUGAUAUCACAAGAACGGCUGUACAAUGCUGAAAAAGCAGCGGGGAGGACCCCCUACAGCCACUUUAGACCUUCCGCCAGCGGAGGACAUCGCUGCCUCUACUCUCAGUGCUGACAGCAUUGAGUGGUUUGGUAAUUUAGAGGUGGUCGUCCAAGGUAAUGCAUUGUUAAUUAAAAUAAUUAAAAGUAAAAACAAUUUGUUCAAUGUUCUUAUGAAUAAAUUGUUUACAUUUUUUAUUUAUUCAGCAACAAUCAUACAUUUCAUGCAGCUCCGCUGGUUGAAGGUUCGGCCGCCGGGCCCAGUAGGCAGGAGCAAGAGGUAGUUCUGCAGGGAGAAGAGACCAUGGAACCACCAAGGUUGAGAGGAGAGGCAAGACCCAGAGCUCGACGCAGAAACGUCGACCAGGAGGACCACCCAUUCCUGGCCCUCCAGCAGGCCGGCUUCAAUAUGCUGGAACGGCAACAGGGUAGGAACCACCAGAACUUGGAGAUGUUGCUGCUGCCGCUCGGACGCUUCGCCGAUAGUGUGAUCAGCCACUCUACAGUUCUGCUGUUCCUGGACCCUUGCAUGCUUGCCACACCGUGGAGCUUCGCGACUGCGAACGCGAGGAGGAAGGUCAAACAUUUAAGUUUAUAAUGUAAAAAAUAACCACACACACACACACACAAAUGUUCGUGGCAUCACUGCAAUCUAAAUAAAAUAAAUGAACAAUAAACUGAGGUCUACUAAUUUGCAAAAAAAUGCACUAAAUUGCUUUGCUUGUACAGCAGGAAAAAGGUCCUAACAUUUGUACAUUUCCAGAGCAAAAGCGUUUCAGCACCUAGCACAGCGCUGUGUGUUUUAAUAAAGAUAUUUCAAUAAAAUGGUUGCCAUCAUAUCCAGAGGUUAAAGGUCAAAUGCAAAAUUUCUACAGUUUAAAAGUAAAACAAUUGAGCUUAUAAGUCUACAGGUGAGGCGGCUCUUCUGCCAGCUGAUCUCUCCUGGCCUGUGCUGCUGCUAAUUGGCAUCGCCACAUGCAGUUCAGCUUCACGCCAUCUAAAAUCCUGUAAUCUAAUGUUGAAAAGACCCACUCUCAAAUAAAUGUAGUGCAGCAGUUACUUUUACAGCAACGGGGAGUGCAUAUGGGCAGGAUGCAUUCGUUUCUAAGUCAUCUGCCAGAAGAUGACAAAGUUCGGUUACUGCCUGGCAAGAUAACCGUAGCCUCUGGUGACACUCCACCUCAGACAGCAACAAAUAUGUGGACCUUGGUCGGUGGACCCUCGGCCUCCUCCGUCUCCCAAUUCUCUGGCCCAUAAGGUACUCCAUUUGGCUAAACAAAAUAAAUGCAUAACUACAUUACUGAUGAAAUACGUUAUUGAUCAAAUAGGUACACUGACAAACUGAGGAGAUCAAUAAGAGAUAUUUUGCCCAUUUUAUAUUUAUGUACACAAUAGGCUAAUAAUCUUUUAUUAUUACAUAUUCAUUUUUUAUUUUCAUAUUUAAACAUAACUCGUGCUGCACAUCAUGUGUGUGAAAUAAGCAACAUGUCUUUGUGCAUUGGACCUGCCUAUCACUAACGCGUUUUCUAAACAAUCCGAUAUAACCUGCGCUGGACUUUACACCAACUUUCAGUCGAUCUAUGGCGUGGUCUAAUGUAAUUGUCUCAAAAUAGCAACG